rnacentral:lncRNA from 1 species
CUGAAAUAUGACAUCUUUUCAAAGGCAGAUGGGAGAACAAAACUUCGUGGGCACGAGGCGGCAGCAGCUCCUGGGAGGGUCAGAGUUGGGGUGAGGUACAGGAUGAAGCCCCAGGCCAGGGCAGUCUCUGCGUGGACCUGGGGCCCUGGGUUCCCGGGUGUGGCCUUGCUUUCAUGCCUCACUAAAAAUGAGCUCAUGACGAGGCUGGGGAGGCAGCGAGGAAGCCCUCGUACCUGGGUCUGAUGGAGCCCAGCCGGGUUUGAAUUCUGUUCUCCCACUCACAGGCUGCAUGACUCAGUGAGGUGCGGCUUCCUCCCCUGUGACCUGGGGCAACAGUAACGCUGCUGACCUCACAAAUCCAGGCAGGGAGCCUCAGAUGAUCUGUGCUGUCUCCCCUCCUGGAGCCUGGUGUUACAGGCCCCCAGCAGCGGCCACCUCCGACCCCGUGGCACUGCCUGAGGUGUCCUUGCUCAUCCUUCUUCAGGAUCAGGACAGCAGUGGAGCUUCUUCUGGUGUCUGUUUCCCCAGCUACCAAGUUCAUUGAGGACUUAGAGAACCGCAUCCGACUAGGGGCUGGUCUGUGAAAUGCAUAGGAGCCCGUG